rnacentral:lncRNA from 1 species
AUGGAGAAUUUCUUCGACAACCAAACCUUAAACUGAGGUCAUCAUGAAAACUGUUGGGUAUAAAAUACCCAUAGCCGAAACCCUCGACGGAAUCGACAACAGCACAGCUCCGUCCGGACUCCUACGGGGGUCGGGCUCCGCCGCCGACAUCAGAACAGCUCCGCCCGGGCUCCUAUGGGAGCCAGGCUCCACCACUGACAUCGACAACAGCACGACUCCGCCCGGACUCCUACGGGGGCCGGGCUCCGCCGCCGGCAUCGAAACAGCUCCGCCCGGGCUCCUAC